rnacentral:rRNA from 1 species
AACGAACGCUGGCGGCAUGCCUAACACAUGCAAGUCGAACGAGAUCUUCGGGUCUAGUGGCGCACGGGUGCGUAACGCGUGGGAAUCUGCCCUUUGGUUCGGAAUAACAGUUGGAAACGACUGCUAAUACCGGAUGAUGACGAAAGUCCAAAGAUUUAUCGCCAGAGGAUGAGCCCGCGUAGGAUUAGCUAGUUGGUGUGGUAAAGGCGCACCAAGGCGACGAUCCUUAGCUGGCCUGAGAGGAUGAUCAGCCACACUGGGACUGAGACACGGACCAGACUCCUACGGGAGGCAGCAGUGGGGAAUAUUGGACAAUGGGCGAAAGCCUGAUCCAGCAACGCCGCGUGAGUGAUGAAGGCCUUAGGGUUGUAAAGCUCUUUUACCCGGGAUGAUAAUGACAGUACCGGGAGAAUAAGCUCCGGCUAACUCCGUGCCAGCCGCCGCGGUAA